UAGGGAAUAUUGGACAAUGGGGCAACCCUGAUCCAGCCAUGCCGCGUGAGUGAAGAAGGCCCUCGGGUUGUAAAGCUCUUUUGUCCGGAAAGAAAAGCAUUCGGUGAAUACCCGGAUGUUCUGACGGUACCGGAAGAAUAAGCACCGGCUAACUUCGUGCCAGCAGCCGCGGUAAUACGAAGGGUGCAAGCGUUACUCGGAAUUACUGGGCGUAAAGCGUGCGUAGGUGGUUGUUUAAGUCUGAUGUGAAAGCCCUGGGCUCAACCUGGGAAUGGCAUUGGAAACUGGACAGCUAGAGUGCGGUAGAGGGUAGUGGAAUUCCCGGUGUAGCAGUGAAAUGCGUAGAGAUCGGGAGGAACAUCUGUGGCGAAGGCGACUGCCUGGACCAGCACUGACACUGAGGCACGAAAGCGUGGGGAGCAAACA
rnacentral:rRNA from 1 species